AGCAUUAUGCUGAGUGAAAUUAGUCAGAGGCAAAAAGACAAAUAUUGCAUAAGACCAGUAGUAUAAGAUAUUGAGAAACAGUAUAAACUGAGAACACAUACUUUUGUGGUUAUGGGGUGAGGGGGAGGGAGGGAUGGUGAGAGAGGGUUAUUUACUGAUUAGUUAGUAGAUAAGAACUACUUUAGGUGAAGGGAAGGACAAUACUCAAUACAGAGAACGUCAGCUCAACUGGACUGGACCAAAAGCAAAGAAGUUUCUGGGAUAAACUGAAUGCUUCAAGGGUCAGCGGAGCAAGGGCAGGGGUUUGGGGACUAUGGCUUAAGGGGACUUCUAAGUCAAUUGGCAAAAUAAUUCUAUUAUGAAAACAUUCUGCAUCCCACUUUGAAAUGAGGCAUCUGGGGUCUUAAAUGCUAACAAGCGGCCAUCUAAGAUGCAUCAAUUGGUCUCAACCCACCUGGAUCAAAGGAGAAUGAAGAACACCAAGGUCACACGAUAACUAUGAGCCCAAGAGACAGAAAGGGCCACAUGAACCAGAGAUUUACAUCAUUCUGAGACCAGAAGAACUAGAUGGUGCCCGGCCACAACCGAUGACUGCCCUGACAGGGAGUACAACAGAGAACCUAUGAGGGAGCAGGAGAACAGUGGGUUGCAGACCCCAAAUUCUCAUAAAAAGACCAGACUUAAUGGUCUGAGACUAGAGGAAUCCUGGCGGUCAUGGUCCCCAAACCUUUUGUUGGCCCAAGACAGGAACCAUUCCCGAAGACAACUCACCAGACAUGGAAGGGACUGGACAAUGGGUUGGAGAGAGAUGCUGAUGAAGAGUGAGCUACUUGUACCAGAGUUGACUACCAGCCAGUUUGGAAUUCCAGCCUAGUUUGCAGAGGGACCCAGGCCCACUUUAUAUAGAGGAAACCACCAAGAUUUGCCUUACUAGGAACCAGAAUGGACAACUGUUCCUGAGAAGUGCCAAGCUGAGACCCACCACUGCCAUAUGCCACCUGGGGCCACUUCUCCCUCUACCACCAGCACCAAGGAUACCAAGGCCCCAAUUUAAGUCAUAUACCUUCAGUCUCCUGGACAAGUUCACUAACUCUUUCUGGGCUCAAUUUCUUCAUCUGUAAAAUGAGAAUAAUAACAUCUACUUUGCAAGAUUGUCCUAAUAAUUAAAUAAUUUGAAGGCAUAUAUUAGAUAUACAAUAGGUAUUUCAUUUAUUAUUCGCAGAGUAUUCAUUGAGCACCUACUAUGAGCCAGGUACUGUGCUAGGAUAGAAUCUCUGCUCUUAAGGUGCUCAUAGUUUAUUUAGUUGAGGAGGCAACAUUUUUACAAAUAAUGAUAUAAUUUCAAUAAAAAUAAAGGAAAUAAACAGGACACUAUGUUAGUUCCUGUUGCUGCUUAAAUUUAGGUGCAGUAUAUACUGAAAAUCAGAAGUUUUUGAGUUAGAAGUUAGACUAUCUCUGGAUAUAAUAUUAGGCAAGUAAGAAAAAUAAUGACAUUCAUUUCUUAGCAGCAAAUUGGGGCCAUUAUAUAACGGUUUUAUGAUAUAUACCAGAAAAACUAAGAAUUGUCUAAUGGAAAAUUAUUUGUUUUUCCUUAAUCCUCUCAUAAAGAAAAUAGAAAUCAAACCAAGCCAAAUCAAACAAAGCAAGCCACUAACUCAACAACAAAUCAACCAGUUAACAAAGAGAAGAAUUAAACAGUAAGAUGUUUCUAAAUUUCAGAAACAAUUACAGUGAUUCAUUUCAGAGCCAAAUUAAAAACAAUUGGGUUGUUGUUAGUAGGCCCCAACUCAUGGUAACCUCAUGCACAAUGGAACGAAAUGCUUCCUGUGGGACUGUGGAUUGGACUGUUGUGAUCCACGGUGUUUUCAUUGGCUGAUUUUUGGAAGUAGAUUGCCAGGACUUUCUUGGCAAUCUGUUUGACAUCAUAACAACAUACAAACCACCACUGACAGAUAGAUGGGGGCUGAGCAUGAGGUGAACUGGCCAGGAAUUGAACCCAGGUCUCCACCAUGGAAGGCAAGAAUCCUACCACUGAACCACCAUUGGUAUUUGGUGCUCCAGUCCUAUGCUAAGUGCUUUCAUGAAUGUUCUCACUUAUUCUUCCUAACAGCUCUUCAGAUAUAUAGCUUAAUAUCCACAUUUUGCAGAUGAAAAAGAGUAAGAGCUACAUCCCAAAAGUCACACUGUGCAAGAGAGGCAGAGGUGAGUCUCAAAGAUCUUUAUGAUAAAAAAAAGCCUGUGCUAUUAACCACCACAUUAUUAAAGCAUUUGGCUAACAAUACAAUUAUCUAUACACUUAUUUUGGAAAAAAUUAGAUUCUUAUACUAUCCACCAGUAAAUUCCAGGUGGUUAAAAUAUCUGUUUAAAAUAUGAAACCAUAUAAACAGAUGUAAUACAAGAGAAAUAUUCUUAUAUCAUUGGGGAUGGAGAAACCAUUUCUAAUUAUGCAUGCAGCCCAUAAAUCAUAAAAAAAAGUAAUGAAUAAUAGGACUAAAAUGUUGUUAGGGCAAUAGAUACCAUAAACAAAGUUAAAAAGGAAAUGACAACUGAGAAAAAAAUUGCAAUCUAGAUAACAAAGGGUUAAUAUCUAUAAUAGAUAAAUAAACCAAUCAGCCAAUAGGAAAAACAAACAAAUGGAGAAACAGGUUAAUCCAAAAGCCCAUUGUCAUCAAGUCAGUUUUGACUCAUAGUGACCCUAUGGGACAGAGUGGAAUUGCCCCAUAGGGUUUCCGAGGCUAUAAUCUUUAGAGAAGCAGACUGCCACAUCUUUCACCCACGGAGUGGCUGGUGACUCAAACUGCUGACCUUUUUGGUUGGCAGCCAAGUGCUUUAACCACUGUGCCACCAGGGCUCCAGGUAAAGAAUAUGAACAUGCAUUUCAUAAAAGGUAUAACUGUCAUGGUAAGAUCAUCAACCUUACUGAGAGUUAAAUAAUAUAAAUCAAAACCAUAACAUAUUAUUUUAGAAAUAAUAUAUUGCCAAAUUUGAAAAAUGUUAAUGUCAAAUACAUGAAAACAAUAUUAAAUUAGCAAAUAUUAAAAUUAAAAUAGUUAUUAUAACUUUGAAUGACUUAUUUAUUGAGUUCCAUUAGUCCUGGAAUCUAUCCUAAGAAAUAUUCCCACACCUGACCAAAAAUUCAUAUAUAAAGGUUUAAUGUUGUAUUGCUUGAAAUUUAGAAAUAGAAGCAAGUAACAACAGAGAAUUAAUUGAAUAACUUAAUGAUAUUUCCAUAUGAUGGACUUCACAGUCAUUUAGAAAAAAGUUGACCUAUAUGCACAUGAUUUGUUAUAAAAUAAGGAAGCACCUUUCUGAACAGCAUGAUCUCAUUUGUGUUAUAGAACUCUAUUUCUGUAUACAUAGAAGAGUAGUUUGAAAGAUAAGUACUCAAAUAUUAGUCAUAGUUAUCUCUAGGAAAUGAGAAGGAUAGAGGGAGUUUUAGUAUCUACUUUUGCAUCAUUUAAAUUUUCAACAUGCACACAUCUGUGCACACAUAUGUAUUUCUCCAAAAGCUUUAGAGACAAGUCAGAAAUAAAACUUAGCUGUUUCAUAAAUCAAAA